UGGGGAAUAUUGGACAAUGGGCGCAAGCCUGAUCCAGCCAUGCCGCGUGAGUGAUGAAGGCCCUAGGGUUGUAAAGCUCUUUCACCGGUGAAGAUAAUGACGGUAACCGGAGAAGAAGCCCCGGCUAACUUCGUGCCAGCAGCCGCGGUAAUACGAAGGGGGCUAGCGUUGUUCGGAUUUACUGGGCGUAAAGCGCACGUAGGCGGACUUUUAAGUCAGGGGUGAAAUCCCGGGGCUCAACCCCGGGACUGCCUUUGAUACUGGAAGUCUUGAGUAUGGUGGAGGUGAGUGGAAUUCCGAGUGUAGAGGUGAAAUUCGUAGAUAUUCGGAGGAACACCAGUGGCGAAGGCGGCUCACUGGACCAUUACUGACGCUGAGGUGCGAAAGCGUGGGGAGCAAACAGG
rnacentral:rRNA from 1 species